CCUACGGGUGGCAGCAGUGAGGAAUAUUGGUCAAUGGGCGAAAGCCUGAACCAGCCAAGUAGCGUGAAGGAUGACUGCCCUACGGGUUGUAAACUUCUUUUAUAAGGGAAUAAAGUGAGGCACGUGUUCCUUUUUGUAUGUACUUUAUGAAUAAGGAUCGGCUAACUCCGUGCCAGCAGCCGCGGUAAUACGGAGGAUCCGAGCGUUAUCCGGAUUUAUUGGGUUUAAAGGGAGCGUAGAUGGGUUGUUAAGUCAGUUGUGAAAGUUUGGGGCUCAACCGUAAAAUUGCACUUGAUACUGGCAGACUUGAGUGCAGUGGAGGCAGGCGGAAUUCGUGGUGUAGCGGUGAAAUGCUUAGAUAUCACGAAGAACACCGAUUGCGAAGGCAGCUUACUAAACUGCCACUGACAUUGAGGCUCGAAAGUGUGGGUAGCAAACAGGAUUAGAUACCCGUGUAGUC
rnacentral:rRNA from 1 species